UGAUGAUCAGAAGAGAAUCUGUUCUUUUUCUCCGGUAAAAAGUCCGCGUUACCGGACCGCUGAUUACACCCACUGAACCGGAAAGAAGGAGCCCUCAGCAGACGUCAAGCUGGCCACCGUAGCAGGAAAGAAGGCCGAGGAAGAGGAGGAGCAGCCUACAGAUCCUCCAGCAGCAGCAGCAGAGGAGGAAGAGGAGGAGUAUGAGGUGGAGAAGAUUUUGGACCACAGAGUGGUAAAGGGAAGAGUAGAGUUUCUGCUGAAAUGGAAGGGGUUCUCAGAUGAGGAUAACACAUGGGAGCCACAAGACAACCUGGACGGCCCCGACCAUAUCGCCGAGUACAUGCAGAAACACAAGGAGAAGGAGGAGAAGAAGAAGGAGGGAAAGAGGAACGUUGUCAGUGAGGCCUCGGGAGACUCAGAGGAGCGAGGGAGCAAGAGGAAGAAGGAGGAGGUGAGUGAAGGAAAGA